GUCUAUGGCCAUGCUGCCCGGAACAAGUGCGAUCCCAUCUGAUCUCGGAAACUAAGCAGGGUAGGGCCUGGUUAGUGCUUGCAUAGGAGAUCACCUAAGAAGACCAGGUGCUGUAGGCA
rnacentral:rRNA from 1 species